GAUGAACGCUGGCGGCGUGCCUAAUACAUGCAAGUCGAGCGAACGGACGAGAAGCUUGCUUCUCUGAUGUUAGCGGCGGACGGGUGAGUAACACGUGGAUAACCUACCUAUAAGACUGGGAUAACUUCGGGAAACCGGAGCUAAUACCGGAUAAUAUUUUGAACCGCAUGGUUCAAAAGUGAAAGACGGUCUUGCUGUCACUUAUAGAUGGAUCCGCGCUGCAUUAGCUAGUUGGUAAGGUAACGGCUUACCAAGGCAACGAUGCAUAGCCGACCUGAGAGGGUGAUCGGCCACACUGGAACUGAGACACGGUCCAGACUCCUACGGGAGGCAGCAGUAGGGAAUCUUCCGCAAUGGGCGAAAGCCUGACGGAGCAACGCCGCGUGAGUGAUGAAGGUCUUCGGAUCGUAAAACUCUGUUAUUAGGGAAGAACAUAUGUGUAAGUAACUGUGCACAUCUUGACGGUACCUAAUCAGAAAGCCACGGCUAACUACGUGCCAGCAGCCGCGGUAAUACGUAGGUGGCAAGCGUUAUCCGGAAUUAUUGGGCGUAAAGCGCGCGUAGGCGGUUUUUUAAGUCUGAUGUGAAAGCCCACGGCUCAACCGUGGAGGGUCAUUGGAAACUGGAAAACUUGAGUGCAGAAGAGGAAAGUGGAAUUCCAUGUGUAGCGGUGAAAUGCGCAGAGAUAUGGAGGAACACCAGUGGCGAAGGCGACUUUCUGGUCUGUAACUGACGCUGAUGUGCGAAAGCGUGGGGAUCAAACAGGAUUAGAUACCCUGGUAGUCCACGCCGUAAACGAUGAGUGCUAAGUGUUAGGGGGUUUCCGCCCCUUAGUGCUGCAGCUAACGCAUUAAGCACUCCGCCUGGGGAGUACGACCGCAAGGUUGAAACUCAAAGGAAUUGACGGGGACCCGCACAAGCGGUGGAGCAUGUGGUUUAAUUCGAAGCAACGCGAAGAACCUUACCAAAUCUUGACAUCCUUUGACAACUCUAGAGAUAGAGCUUUCCCCUUCGGGGGACAAAGUGACAGGUGGUGCAUGGUUGUCGUCAGCUCGUGUCGUGAGAUGUUGGGUUAAGUCCCGCAACGAGCGCAACCCUUAAGCUUAGUUGCCAUCAUUAAGUUGGGCACUCUAAGUUGACUGCCGGUGACAAACCGGAGGAAGGUGGGGAUGACGUCAAAUCAUCAUGCCCCUUAUGAUUUGGGCUACACACGUGCUACAAUGGACAAUACAAAGGGCAGCGAAACCGCGAGGUCAAGCAAAUCCCAUAAAGUUGUUCUCAGUUCGGAUUGUUGUCUGCAACUCGACUACAUGAAGCUGGAAUCGCUAGUAAUCGUAGAUCAGCAUGCUACGGUGAAUACGUUCCCGGGUCU
rnacentral:rRNA from 1 species